UACAGAGGGGGCAAGCGUUGUUCGGAAUUACUGGGCGUAAAGGGCGCGUAGGCGGCCUUCUAAGUCGAACGUGAAAUCCCCGGGCUCAACCCGGGAACUGCGUCCGAUACUGGAAGGCUUGAAUCCGGGAGAGGGAUGCGGAAUUCCAGGUGUAGCGGUGAAAUGCGUAGAUAUCUGGAGGAACACCGGUGGCGAAGGCGGCAUCCUGGUUGGAUACUGACGCUGAUACGCGAAAGCGUGGGGAGCAAACAGG
rnacentral:rRNA from 1 species